CCUGUCUGUGAUGAAAAUUAUCCUUCGUAUUUUUGAGUUUGGCGACCAUGAGAAAACUCACAUGCACUACCAUCUGAGACAGA